CUUUUUUGUUACUCCAAGGCUAAAGGGUUCCACUGCCAAAUUCAAACCAACCAUCAAGAAAAGGAAACCAAUCAUUCACCAGUGAACAAUUUUCUCAUUUGCCAGCCUUUACUAGCCAGCCUUCAACAAAAGCGAACAAUCACCAAUCACUAAACAUUUUCUCAUUUGGCUGCCUUCACUAGGGCAUGACAAUAUUUGUUGGUUUAAGUGAAGUUGUGAACUUACAAAACAAAAGGCAGUGAAGACCUUGCCUGCAAAUCUUAGUGCCUUAACCAUUUGUUGCCAAGGUGGAAGACAAUGCCGUUCAACUGUCAGUAGAGAAUGCAAGCAAAUUUAAUUGCCUAGACACGAUAAAAGGUUCAUUGCACUCAUUACGUGGGAAGUGAACUGACAAGCAACUUGGCAAAUCCAAAUUUCUGGCUGCAAAGACUUGAGAAGCACAAACAGAUCUCAUUGGUAUGUCGUAGCAGUAAAAUAAAGUUCCAGUUAAAGGACAGGCAUGUGCAUUUUGCACUUUUGGAUGCAAAAUUUUGUCAGCUAUCACAUUCAAUGUAUUCAUAACCAUUUUGCUUAUUUACUUUUGCUUAUUUACUACAGCUGGCAUUUUUGUCGUGUCUUUUAUCCCCACUAGACACAUAAAAACAAGACAUCAACCAGGUUUGUUGUGCAAAACCAAUGUUUGUGACUACCCAAUUUUAAUUGUCAUUUGCAAUAAGUAUUCAUGAGCUCUGGAGUGGAUAUGCAUUAACAGAUGUAUGUUUAAGGAUUAACAGAUAAAAUUUUCACAAGAAGUCCAUGGGAUUAGAUGGGAUGAACACCUUUUUUUCUUUGAGAAUUAUAUACAGUACAAGCUAAGGGAGAUUCAGAGUAGCUUUUCAUGGUUUCAUAUGUAGCAGUUCCUGGUGAGGAAGACUUAAUUUGAGGGGUCUUUACUAUGGAUUGGCUGGAAUUCUUGUUGGUGUCUCAGUUAAUUCCCAUUAAUGGAACUGGUGGGUAAUGUUGUUUUUUCAUGAUGUCUCAACAAUAUGCAUGCCCUGCAUCUGGUUUCUACAUGCUUGAUGCAUGUGGUUUGCUAAGUAAGCUGCAAUUUGUCUAUGUUAAAACUCCUUCCAGAUUUUUCUUUGAGGACUGAAAAUGACUUGUGCAUUUCUUUGAGGACUGAAAAUUCCUUUCAGCUUUUCUGUUGGAUUGCUCUGAUGCAUUUCCCUAGUUAAUUAGUUAAACAAAGCAUACCUUGUGGUCUAUUAACUAAAUGGUAGUUUGAAGCAUAAUUUUCUUACUGUAUCUAUUUUAUGUGAGAAAAUGAAUGGGGCAUCUUCUGUGGCUUUUCGUGUGCUAAGUAUCAUGAUCAUAAUCUACUUCUUGUUCAAGAAGAAGAAAGAAGCCAAUUUUCAACAGGAGGUAAAUGGGAUGUUUUAAUGCCAGGUCUUCAAGAUGGACUUGAAACAAAGACGUCUACUUUAUCUUGAAUCAAUGAAAUUGGUGUCUUCACUGACUGGAUCCCUUAAGAAUCUUUUCCUCCUGGGAAAAUGAUGGUUAUAGCUUAGUUCUCGCCAAAGCCUGUGGGCAUGUUGGAAGUUUAUUUCUUGGUAUUUUGAUCAAGAGCUUCCACGUAAUUACAUUUCAAAUUUCAGUUGCUUCAUUGGUGCAUUUUGACAGUAUUUUUAGAUUUUAUUCAAAUUCUUUGUAUUCUCGAAACAACAGGAUGCAAUUUUUACAUGUUGGGAAACUAAUAAAGAGUAUAGGGCUGUACUUUCUUGUGAACUCUGCAAUUGUCUAAGUAGCAUUAGGAGAAUCAGUCUCUUUGAAUAAUGUGAAGCUCUUCUGAUGUCUGUUAAACACCAAUCGUGCAAAUAGGCACAAGUUACC